UGUGUGGUGUGUAGCCCCGCUCCGGCUUGCACCCCCGCGAGCCACCUCGCAGCCCUCUCCGGCCUCGGCCUCACGGAUCCCCUCCCGGAGUAGCCCCGCGGGCCCCCCCGCCAUGCGUAAUGGGGCGCCCCUGGGACGCAGGCGGGGAUGGUGGUUCCGGUCGUUCCGGGAUUUGCGUGCAAGAAGAAAACAAGGCCGGCGACUACAAGAGCGGCGCCUCCAUUCUUGGGGUUCAGACGCCCGCGCAGCCUCCGCGUCGGUUCCGCUCUGCGCGCCUCCCUCGCUCCGGGCUCGGGGAGCCGCUCGCUCCUAGCGCCCAGAGUCAGCCGGUUCCACCUUCGGCUGCGAGAGCCGCCGC
rnacentral:lncRNA from 1 species